AGACGCUGGCGGCGUGCUUAACACAUGCAAGUCGAACGGUGACGAGGAGCUUGCUCCUCUGAUCAGUGGCGAACGGGUGAGUAACACGUGGGCAACCUGCCCCUGACUUCGGGAUAACGCUUCGAAAGAGGUGCUAAUACCGGAUAUGAGUCCCUCCGGCAUCUGAGGGACUGGAAAGUUUUCGGUCAGGGAUGGGCCCGCGGCCUAUCAGCUUGUUGGUGAGGUAACGGCUCACCAAGGCGACGACGGGUAGCCGGCCUGAGAGGGCGACCGGCCACACUGGGACUGAGACACGGCCCAGACUCCUACGGGAGGCAGCAGUGGGGAAUAUUGCGCAAUGGGCGAAAGCCUGACGCAGCAACGCCGCGUGAGGGAUGAAGGCCCUAUGGGUUGUAAACUGCUUUUAGCCGGGAAUAAACACCCGUUUUAUAACGGGCCCGAAGGUACCGGCUGAAUAAGCAUCGGCUAACUCCGUG
rnacentral:rRNA from 1 species